AUUAUCUCAUAAAUGCCGGCAGCUAUCAGUCUGAAACUCUCACAUGGUCGCCCACUGAAGCGAAGCAGGGCUGCGCCCGGUCAGUACUUGUGUAUGGGAGACUACAUGGGAAAGCUAGGUUGGGAAAGUG
rnacentral:rRNA from 1 species